UUUAUAUAAGGUCGCAACAUUAGAAGGUAGAAUUAAGGUGCACCUCAAAAGUGAAAAUGUUGUUUUGAUGGUGGAAAUCCUCUAAUUGAUUAUCGGAACAUUGAAAUGUAUGAAUAUGUGUAAAAAUAAAGAUUUCGAGUCUCAAAAAUAAAGCAUCUUGCAACACAUUAUCUAGACCGUUCAUUUACAAGAUUUUCAUGUGUUUAUAGAUCUACUUGAUUUAAACCAUUUUUGGAGUUUAAAAAUUCAUAACUAGAGAUGAAAAUGGAUUAUAAGGCCCUCCGAUGAUAAAUUUGGAGGUGCAGCUAAUUUGGAUUGUUUAAGGUUGCAACCUUUGAUACAAGGUGGUCACAUUAAUCUUGACCAUUGGAUGUGAAAUUGGAUGGUUGUAAUUAUUCUAUUGAUCAAGCUCAAACUUCAAAAGAUUUUUUUUCAAACUUUGUGACACAAAACUAUCAAAUUUCGCGUCAAAUGGUUAUAAAGAAUUGUGACCAUCUUGUAUCAAAAGUAAAUGAUCUCAUUAUAUAUAAUCCCAUAUUCUUAAAUCCAUAAAGCUAUCCAAAAAAACAUUGUCUUGUCUCAAGACAUCAUAAGUCUUGUAGCACUUAGACCUGUGAUGCGAGACAUUGGCAAGAUGGUUUACACAUAAGUGUUGUCUGGUACUCGAAUAAACCAACAGGUUUAAUCUUAGACAGUCUCUUCUUAUAUAAGGAUGCUACCUUAUAAUGAGAACUAUGAAUGCUUCUCAAAAAUCCAUCGGAAAAUGUAGUUUUAAUGUUGAAAAAGCCUUUGAUUGAUCAUCUCGACAUCGAGAUGUAUGACUAUGAAAAAUAAAAAGAUUUUAAGUCUCAUAAAUAGUGCAUUUUACAACAUAUUAUCUACACCGUCCAUUUUCAAGAUUUUUAUAUGUUUAUAGAUCUACUUGAUUUUAACCAUUUAUUAAAUGUAAACUUUUAUAAUUAAAUAUAAAAAUAGAUUUUGAGAUAAUCUUAAUAAAAUUUUACAUCAAAAUUAUAUACCAGGAUAAACUUUGAAAGGCACCGUACCUCUACACCUACGGAGUCGUCCGUAUGCCAACAGCACCCCUUCAUGAUUGGUACCAGAACCCCUUAAUUUGAAGGACCAUUUAAACAUUGGUGCCCUUAACUAACCAUAUCCCAUAAGAGUAGCUACGCAAGGGAGAGCUAAACUUGAAGUCCAAGAUCCAUAUUUGACUUGGUUUUGGCAGUUCAAGUAGGGCAAUUUAAAAAAAAAAAAAUCAAAAAUUUUAAAAAUAAAGUUAAAAAUAUCUAAACUGUGAUAAAGGAGAAAAUGUCAAAUCAUGUUAAAUGUUUUAAGAGCUAUAAGCUUUAUACCAUCUUAAAAUGAUCUACUACUACUUUUCUCAAAAUAACCAAAAAAAGGGAAAAGACAUAUACCCCCUCUCUAUAAUUGUAAUUUCAAUUAAACUCCCAGUUCCAAAAAAGGCCUUUCAAGUUAAAAUAAAAAUCUUUUAAACCCUCUCUGCAUUUUUUUAUUAUCCAAAUUACAAUAUUUAGUUUUGAGUGUGGCUUGUAUAGACCCUAGGCUCUAAGCAAUCAAAUUAGAGCCUACCUUCAAAUAGUAGUGAGAAAUGUGGUUUCAAUAUUGGAAAUCUUUGUGAUAGUCUUAAAAUAUAUUUUCAUCUUUAUUUAUAAAGGUUAAAGCUUCAAAAUAGCAAAGAUCGACAGAUCUAUGAAAACUUGAAAAUUUUGUAAAUUGACGGUCAAAAAAUGCAUUAAAAAAUACACAUUUUCGAAAACUUGAAAUCAAUUUUUUUCUCAUGU
rnacentral:lncRNA from 1 species